rnacentral:rRNA from 1 species
ACGCUCGACACCUACGUGAGGCAGCAGUGAGGAAUAUUGGUCAAUGGGCGCUAGCCUGAACCAGCCAAGUAGCGUGAAGGAUGAAGGCUCUAUGGGUCGUAAACUUCUUUUAUAUAAGAAUAAAGUGCAGUAUGUAUACUGUUUUGUAUGUAUUAUAUGAAUAAGGAUCGGCUAACUCCGUGCCAGUAGCCGCGGUAAUCUGAGCGGGCUGGCAAGGC